rnacentral:rRNA from 1 species
UCGGCUUGCAGUGGGGAAUCUUGCGCAAUGGGCGAAAGCCUGACGCAGCGACGCCGCGUGAGCGAUGAAGGCCUUCGGGUCGUAAAGCUCUGUCAGAGGGGACGAUAAUGACGGUACCCUCAGAGGAAGCCCCGGCUAACUACGUGCCAGCAGCCGCGGUAAGACGUAGGGGGCUAGCGUUGUCCGGAAUUACUGGGCGUAAAGGGCGUGUAGGCGGCUUUGCAAGUCAGUGGUGAAACACCUGGGCUCAACCUAGGUAUUGCCAUUGAAACUGCUUGGCUUGAGGGUAGAAGAGGAGUGUGGAAUUCCCGGUGUAGCGGUGAAAUGCGUAGAGAUCGGGAGGAACACCAGUGGCGAAGGCGGCACUCUGGUCUACCCCUGACGCUGAGGCGCGAAAGCUAGGGGAGCAAACAGGAUUAGAUACCCUGGUAGUCCAAGCCGA